rnacentral:rRNA from 1 species
UUCUAGGUUGACCUCGGAUCAGUAGGGAUACCCGCUGAACUUAAGCAUAUCAAUAAGCGGAGGA